GGGGGCGUAAAGGUUUCGACGGGGAUUGUGAACCUGGGUAAGCGAGUAGCGGGGCAGGGCCGCUUUAAAACCUGUAACCUUAUAAAUUAAACAACAACAACUCUGUUGCUGUCGCGGCCUAAUUAGGCUGCCGUCUUUACCUGCCAUACCGCGGGCGGGAUAAAGGCGUCGAUGAGCGGUGAACGUGAACGGGGGAGGGCCGCGGCUCCCGUCAUGACCAAGCGGCUACUGUAACAGGAAGCCUGCCUUUCGGCGUCCUGUGAGGGGAAUCCCAAAGGAUCGGCUGCACUCGGAGAAAGCCCAGGCAAGUGAUUUUCGGACAGGGGUUCGACUCCCCUCGCCUCCACCA
rnacentral:tmRNA from 1 species